AAAAAUAUAUAUUACAAUUAUUGGUUUCUAUGUCUGUUUCCAGUUCUCCUCAACUUGCUCCUCAAGAAAUACUGUGGCUGUUGUAACACAUUUCCUUUUUGCCUGGUUACCAGGAAGCUCACAAUCGAGUCUGUGGCCAUCCUUUAGCAAUUAGACAUUUUGGAUCCAAGGACCAAUAGGUUGACUCAUUCACUAGUGGAGAGUAUCAAAGAAAGAAAAAUUUAAAAACUAAACAACAG